CUAUUGUUGAUGAGGCGCACGGAGGCUGCGGAGGCAGCGCGGGCAGCCCCGGGCCGGGGACGGCGGCCAGGGGGGGACGGGGCCGCCACCGGUGCUGCCGCCGCCGCCGCCGCCUGAGGCGUUGGAUCCCCGCGAGGACCCGCCCGCGCCGCGCCUCCCCCGCCACCGACGGCCCUCCGCCAGCCCCGGCUCCCAACGGACAAUGUCCCACCAGCGCGUGAGGCGCAGCGGCUCCCCGACCCCCGCCACCUCCCUCGGGGGAGGGGGCGCGGCGGCGGCGGCGGGGGGCGGCGGCGCGGGAGCGAGCAGCCGCCUGCAGCCCAUGCGGGCCACGGUGCCCUUCCAGCUCAAGCAGCAGCAGCAGCAGCAGCAACAUGGCAGCCCCACGAGGAGCGGCGGCGGCGGCGCGGGCGCCCUGGGCGGGGGGCUCCCACGCGCGGCGCCCGCCUCGCGCAGCGUCAGCCCCACGCGCGCGGCGCCCACCGGCAACGGCGCGCGCGGCGGCCCCGCCACGGCCACGCAGACGCCGGGGGGAGGGGGCAGCGCCGCCGCCGCCUCCUCCUCGCGGGGCAGCCCCACGCGUGCCGGCGGGGCGCGCGGCAGCCCCCCGCGCUCCCACCACCUGCCGCCGCCGCCGCCCCCGCCGCCGCCGGGCUGCGGACCCUCGCCCUGCUCCUCUCCGCUGCCGGAGGGCAGCGCCGCGGCGGCGGGCAGGGUCCGGCACCGGCGGCACUCGCCGGAGCAAGGCCGGAGCUCCCCGGAGAGGAAGAGCCCCAGCUCCCCCGUCUGCAAAGCUGACAAAUCAAGACCACCUUCAUCAAGCCCUUCCAGUAUUAUUCGCCGGACUUCCUCAUUGGAUACGCUUGCUGCUCCGUACCUUGCUGGACAGUGGCCUCGUGAUAAUCAUGGACAAGCUGCUCCGUGUAUGAGAGACAAAGCCACACAGACAGAAAGUGCCUGGGCUGAAGAAUAUUUAGAAAAGAAGAGAAGCUCGCACAAACGUUCAGCAUCGUGGGGGAGCAAUGAUCAACUAAAAGAGAUUGCAAAAUUGCGUCAACAAUUACAGAGAAGCAAACACAGCAGUAGGCAUCAUCGCGAUAAAGAAAGACAGUCUCCAUUUCAUGGUAACCAUGCAGCCAUUAACCACAGUCAGGCUCCCAUCCCAAAGAGUGCUCUUGUUCCUGUGAUACCUAUUACCAAAUCAACAGGAUCACGAUUCCGAAACAGUGUAGAAGGACUGAAUCAGGAGAUUGAGAUAAUAAUUAAGGAGACGGGAGACAAAGAGGAGCAGCUUGUUCCUCAAGAUGUUCCAGAUGGGCACCGUGCACCACCUCCGUUAGUUCAGCGUAGUAGUAGUACUCGCAGCAUUGAUACCCAAACACCUGGUGGAGCAGACAGGGGUAGUAACAACAGCAGCCGCUCCCAGUCAGUAUCUCCAAUCUCAUUUCUUACCAUCUCUAACGAAGGCAGUGAAGAAAGUCCGUGUUCUGCAGAUGAUCUUCUUGCCGAUUCCAGAGAUAAAGAGAAUGGGAAUAAUUCCCCUUUGCCAAAAUAUGCUACCUCACCAAAACCCAACAACAGCUAUAUGUUCAAGCGUGAACCUCCAGAGGGCUGUGAAAAGGUGAAAGUCUUUGAGGAGAGCUUUGCGUCCUCUGAGAGUAGUCCUGAGAAUCUGCCUUUCCCCAUCUUCAUCUGCAGUAGGUUUGAUCAGUUCCUGAGCACUUUACAAUUCUGCUGUUAGAGGAAGAUGCCACAAGCCCUGGAUUUUGGGAACAGAGAGAUUCAGCAUGUGUUCUCCUGGGAAUGAAGGUAUGGGAACAGGACUGAGAAAAAUGACCUGGAUUCCUGCUGGUAGGUUCAUAACACUGUUCAGUAGAACGCAGCUGCCGAAGCCUACCUGGGAAGGUACUUAAACUGUUCAUUGAAAUAGUCUCAUAUUCUGCAUGUUUCUGUUCGCUCAAAACAAGCCUCUUCAUGAGCAGAAUUCGGGUCCCGGGCUCCUUUAUGUUAGAAAUAAUGAGCUAGUUAUGUAUUUUGGGGUUUCUUGUAUUAAAUUUGUCUAAUUCAUCUGAAAGGCUUGGAGCAGUUCCUCUUCUGGAAAAUGAUUGUCGGCUAUAUUUCUUUCCAGAAUGAAGAGAGAGGUAGAAGAUUUCCCUGAAUUUUGAGGAAUUGCAGGAUUUCCUGUGUAUACUCCUCAAAGCAAGGCUGGCUUGUGCUUUUCCAUCGGUGGAAAGGGUUGGGCCAAUAAAUGCAACAGCAGCAGGAAGUUUCACAGCCGGAGUCCACGGGUAAAUUCGUGCCCAACUCAGACUACUUGGUUGAAAUGUAAAAGAGGAAUUCACAGCUGCUGAAGCCUGGAACCAACGCAAGAGUCUUUUCUGUAUUUGAUAUUUUCUCACAUUUUGUUCUUUUUCAGCUGUUCAGUUGUCUGUGGAUAUUUGUCUGUGUCCAGGUGAGCAAGACCUGAUUCUUUACUAAACAGGCUGUUGACCACAUUCUCUGCUAAACCAUUUUUUCACCACUAAUUACAAACCUGGUAUUUAGGGUUUCAGGUAUGUAAGGAUGACUUUACUGUAAAUACAUCUGGUGUUUAAAUUCUUUUUGCAUCUUGUACUACAUACAGGGAAAUGGCAAGACACGUUAAGAAGCUUACAAAGAUAAUCUACGAAGACAAGGAGAACUGUAAGAGUAACUGUGUGGUGAGCGGUGACAGUCUUCCAGUUCUUGAUUCACUGUUCUCGUUGUGAGCAGUUAUGUUCCUCAGUUAGAUAGCUGCUCAUUUUGUUUCCUUGGAUUGUUGGAGAGUGAUCCAGGCAGGAGACUGGUUAGGAGAAUUUCUCAGGUAUCUCUCUUUUUUUUUUUUUUUUGAGAGGUCUAACUGCAUACAAAAUUGGUAUAGAAAUUGUAUGCCAAGGCUGCAUGUGUUUUAUCCUACCCCCUUGUCCUUUUGGUGCUCUGGUCAGCAUUUGGAAGUUGUGUAAGAUGAUUGUUCCACCCAGACUUUGAAACUUUUCAGAUACUACUAUCCUAAAAUAUUCCUCCUGUAUACAGCAUUUACAGAAGCGCUGUUCAGCUGCCAGACAUGUACUGCAAGCAAAGUAGAACACUUGGUUAAAUCCUGCGCUUAGGAGCAGGGGUACCGAACUGCUGUGGUGAGGCUGUUGAUGAAGACGCUGUUUGUUACAUGGUAGAUUGUGGCUGCCUUUCCUAACUGUAGAUGUGUAGCUGACCAGUGUAAGCAAUGUUUCACUGUAAACACUUAAUUUCCUUGUUGAUGAAGAUGGCUGCUGGGGAGGUUUCCCUGUUCCCUAGCAGUGGGUGCUCCACUACACGUUUGUGAACAGUGAGCACUGCCAGAAUUUAUCAGGCUGUGUGGGUCAGAUAGGCAGGAGUUGAGAAUUGUUCUGUUUGCACUCCAUCUUUCAGAACCUAUGAAGUUAAUUACGAGUUAGAGCAGAACUUGACCUAUGAUGUUGGUACUGGGCAAAUAACAAAAAGGCUACGUCCUGGCCUAGCCUAGAUCUUUUGCAUGGCUUUUGCAAAUCCAAGAUUUUAAUCGUGACUUAAAAAUAUUAUUCUGUAUACAGAAUUCAUAUAAGCACUGCUCAGCUGCAAGACAUAUUCAGGUGCUGUGUAGGGUAGAUGAAGAGCUGCAGCACAAUUUGGUGUACAAUUUGCAGGUACAAUUACCUGUAAUUGCUGCAGUUAAUGCAGUUAACGUCAGCUGGGAAACUACAAACAAAGCUGAACAGGCAGGUAAUUAUGAGUGAGUUCUCUCUUGAGAUGAGGUUUUUGUUUCCAUUUUCUUUUUAAAUAGAGCAGUUUGUUCUUUUUUUUUUAAAAAAAAAACAACCACAAAACACACACACACACACACACACACACACCCAAAACAAACAACAAACUCUAGAGCAUUCUCAACCUUCUGUGAGUUGUAGAUACUUAAUCCCUUGUUAAGAGGUUGCUUAACAGCAUGUUCCUGUGCUGUGUGUGGAACAAUUCCUUUUCCUCACACAAAGAAUGAACUUUUCCUAAUGACUUUUGAAGGAAUUUGUAAGCCAUGUCUUCAGCCCAUAAAGUUGACCUUCAGGUUUCUGGGAGAUGUUUGCUAAGUCUGAACAAAUUUCUUCAAAUAAAACUGCAAGGGGAUGUCCUUGCCCCAGGAGUAGGAUGGAUGGCAGCAUCUCCUGCAGGUGUGUAGCAGCUGCCGUCCCAAAUCACUAAUAUCCAUCCACACCAGGAGCUAAAUACAGGGAAAGCGGCAGGUCACUUAGUUCAGGAGUCACAAUACAGGGUGAUUCUGAUCUUAAACUGCAACCUCUGGACAGCAUCAAACAGCUAUUCAAAAACCAUAGUUUCACAAACAUGUCUUCAGCUGCAUUGCUUGUUUGAAGCAGUAUCACCUGCCUGCCUGUUCUUCUCUUCCACAGCAUCUUCAGUUAUGCCAUACCUCUCUUUUUAGAGCCACAGCCCCAGUUAAAGUCCCCUUUACAACCCAGUGCUGUUCAGUCAGAGCUGAUGGGAUCUGAAAUGGAAGAGCAACUAGCAUAAACUAAAAGAAAAGUUCAGACUGUGUCCUGCAGUGUAAUUCUCUAUGGCCGAAGGCUUACUGGAACCCACAGAGGGUUGAUGCUAUUUUUUUAUGCUGCAAGAAGUUAAUUAGAAGUUAAGGCAGAGCUUGACCAAUGUCAUCUUGUACUAGGCAAAUUCAUAAAAGAGCUACAUCCUGACCUAAUCUGAAUAUUUUUUGUGUGUAUUUCUUUGGCAAUAUCAAGAUUUUAACUGUGGGAUUCCCAAGUGCCCUCAUCUUGGCACACUGGACCUAUAUUUCUAACUGUGGUAGAAACUGUGUAGAACCUAUACUCAAUCUCACUACUGUUGCCGAUAGAGGUCCUGUGAAAUUGCAGAUAGUCAGCAGAACAGUUCUAAAGCUUUCAAAGUGCAGGUAAAAACGAAGUCAUGGCUUCUUCAGAGUUGGGAAGUGAUAGCAUCAUCCUAUCUACCUUUGUCCUAAAUACGGUUUUGCUGUCUCAGAGGUGUGAGUCCGAAGCAUGUGAUUUCCUUGAAGAUAGAACAAUUUUUAAAAGUCCAUUGUAUGCCCUGGAGUGUUUUCCUGGAACUAGUAUUUGCCUGCUAACCCCAGGGAUUUUAUUUUUAGAAGGCCAUGGGAUAAAAGUAAUUAGCUAGAUCUAGUCCCAUCCCGUCGUCCUUUUUUUUUUUUUUUUUUUUCUUCUCCUCUCUGUGAUGCAUCAGAAAACAAAUCUUUUCUGCAUUGAACUUCACCAACUUAAUAGGCUUUCAAACAGCUACCAAAUGUCCCAAACCCAGGGUGUUAGAAACUGAUUUUUCUUUUAAAGCUCAUUGUAGGAUCCUUCAGUGUUGUUCUCCUUGGAACUUAAAUGUCCACCACCAUGCCAGAUGAUGGGUGUAUGUUUGGAGCAGGAUUUUAAGCAUUCCUUGUAAUGGUAAAAUGAAAUCAGUCUGUUUUGAAGACAACUGCAACGAAAUACCAUUAAUACUUGCUCGUUGGGUAACUCUGUAAACGUUAAGCAGUUCAUCUGCUGAAUAUCUGGUGGCAUCUGGAUUCAAAAGGAGAUCCAGGUCUGCGAAAAGACUGAACCACAUUGAUGCAGCUUCAGUCACAGCCGCAGUCAUACUCUGAACAGCUAGAAAAAAAAAAGAUCCAAGUAAUGUUUUUUUUAAAACUAGUAAGAUUUUUUCUUAAAAAAAAAAAUUAAAUUUACCUCAGGAUGUUUCCAUAGGCAAACAAAUAACAACUGAAGCUUUUUCUUGUCUCUCAGCGAACCAGAAACGCUGGCCUGACUUGCAUUGAUUGGUACGUGCAAUGAAGUGGGAGACUGUUGCGUUCAACCAGUGAAACAGUUCAAAGUAUGUUACAGAUCAGCUGGAAUUGAGGACUUAGUGAAGUAGAAACUGUUGGUGUUUCUUACCGAAAAAUAUUUUGUAACCCAAGAUAGAACACAGUCUGCUUAAACCUUUUCUCCGUCCCUCAGCAUGAGUUCCAUAACGUGAGACUGAGUACAGCCAGUGUCAAAUACUGUGUUUAUGUUCCUUUUUUCUUUUCUUACUGGCACGUUUUCUGGCACUAGUGGAACUUAGAGUAUGCAAAGUAUAGAACAAAUUCUCUCCCUGUGCCAAGAGCGUAGUGCUGCUGUCUUAACAUUGUGUCAUCUAGCGCUUUCACUUGGAAGUGUAAAACGUGGUUGACCUCUGAAAGAGAGAAAAAAUGGAUUUGUCGUAACUUCUCAAGUAUAGUGGGAGCCUAAAAGGACUGUAGGACUAGAGGUCACAUGCUGGGUGGUUUGUUUUUUCUCUGUUGGAAAUUCAGAUGAUAUCACUUCUGCUGAUUAACUUUUUGAGAAAUAAUGAUUUGGAGAUCAACUACUGUGAAAUAGUUACUAGAUCCAGUACAAGACACAGGCUAUGUGGUGGUGACUCAUUUGCUAUAAAUUGGUACUUAUUCCAGUUGUUUGGAUUUUGUUUUUCCUUUGAGCAGCUUAAGGAAAUAAUGCCCAAGUAGACAGUAUUAACUGCAUCAGGUAUUACCCUUUUCUGAUUUUUGUGUAGUGCUGGACGCUACAUAUUUCAUGCUUAAAAACAUGCUUUAUGAUAUGUACAGUUAUUGUAGGAAUUGGAGAUUCUUGCUUUUGGCUGAAGUACCGAUACAGAUUUAAGGAACGCUAGAUCUAUAUUUGUCACGUGCAAGACAGUCUCACCUAAAUCUUAAAAUCUGGGGUUUUUUUAGUAGAUUUACUGGAAAAUGUGCAAGAACUCAGUUUAUUCUAUGCAAUCCAAGCCUAUUUCUGACUCUAUUUUCUUUUAUAGUAGCCUAAAAAAAGCAAACCGGUUGAGUAUUUUAAAAUGUAUGUUUGAAGAAUGUGAAUUCAAAUUACAAAAUUCUGAACCCAACAGAUUUUUGAGAAGUGUUUCAGAAGAUGCAGCCCUCUUCCUGGAGAAGAGGGUGGUCCACACACAGUUGCUUCCUGCCUGCGUUAGUCAGUAGUGGAAUCAAAAGAUGCCGAGGGUGCAGAGAGGUCCGUGCUUCUGUUCCUUGCGAUGCCUGUGUCUCAGGUUAUAUGGUGGCUGAGUAGCUUCCCCAUCUAGCAGCUGUAUUUAUCUCUGAAUAUUUUGACGUUGUUCUCAACAUGCGCUUAUGGUCUGAAUGGUGCAAGCAUUUCUGUGCCAUAUUGUGAUUGCUUGGUAAUCUAGACUUGCCCCUAAUAACAUUACAGUCAUUUUAAACUGAAUUAUUUUGCUAGGAGAGCAUUGCUGCUGUUUACAAUGGAAGUAAGACCUAGUCUUUCCUACUGAAAAUAUUAUGGACCUAUGAUUUUUUGCAGAUUGCUUAAUUUUGACAUUUUCAGCGCUGUGAAGAUAAGAAGCUGGAGGAACUGGCUGUGCUUUCUGAUCAGAAGACUGUCACACGUGUGCCUCCGACUGGGAAGCAUUUGAAAAUGUAUCCUAGCAUCUCAGGUUGUGCAACUGAUGGUCUGGCGGGCUGAAACACUCCCUCUUCCCCUUGCAGCACAUUGUGUGGAAAUACUAAUGAUGUUAACAUGUUUCAGUACACAGCAUUUGGGUUUUUUGAACCAUCUGAGCUACAGCUGAGGAAUAAUGAUUUAUAUGAUACUUAUUGUUGCUGUCUAAGCUUAUGGUAUUAAGGCUGAUGGCAUGGAAAAGCUGCUCCAUCUGCUUUCUCUUCUGAAGAAUAUUACUAAGAAAUGUCAAAGAGUAAUUUCAAGCACAGGUGUUAAAGGCAUUUUUGUUGAAUUUUCUUUUUUCUGGUCUUAAAAGCUGAGAAUCAUCAGGGUUGCUUAUCUGCGCAUUGUUUCUUCAUUGAACUUCUGUCUUCUGAACUUCUGGAGUAACUCCAGAAAUAAAAAUAGGCCUGAGCUGAAAAAACACUGCCAGAAGAGCUGAAAAUUAAAGCCAGGAGGCCAGAAGAAAUUCCCAAACAAAUGUGUAUGCAUGGGGGUGAUCAGUCCCAUCAUUAUUUGUUAAAGAAUUAAUUAUAUAAAAGUUAGAUGACAAAGUAUUUGCAGUAGUAUUGUUUAAAGGUUACAUUAUCCUUGCAAUAAUUGGGUGUUACAUUUUGGAAAGUUCCUUUAAAAAGGAUAAGGAGAGAUUUGACUUUGAGUCUCCAUUGUUUGUAAUAUCCUCUUUCAGCAUGAAAACAUUUUCCGUUCCCAUCAGUUUUGUCUUUUUAUUUGGCAAACAUGAAUAUUUUUCCUGAACUUCAAGUAGAAUGAAAAAUUGUUAUUUUUGUUGGCUUGCAGACAUUGUAGCUUCCCCUCCAGUAAAACUGGCAGAUUUAUUUUUAGAGAUGUUGUACCAGUAUAUACCUUUAUUUAGUUGUUUAGUGAAAACUAAUUAAACAAGCCUACAGAAAAGGUUUAGUUUAGGGCUUGCUUGCAAGAUUUGAGUGAGCUGUACGUGACAGAGAAUGUAGUUCUCUGUAUCUGCGAAUAUGCAGUAAGUUUUACUCAAUGGUUACGCAGCUAUCUGCUUAGUGCUCUUGGCUGUCUCCACCUCCCUCUACUCUAGCUCCAAAGGGACUACUUCUGACAUUCCAAACUGCUGAGCAGCUUUCCGACAGCUGCCAUUGAAAUCAGAAUGAAAACAAAACUCUUUUCUUUGCCUUCUUCCCAAGUGUGGGUCAGGUGAAGCCAGAACUGGUUUCCUGCAUGUGCCAGCUGUGCACUGCUGCUCCGUCGCUGGUGUUGGUGGUCACCUCUGGUGCGCAGCAGUCCCCUUACGGAGACAGCCAACGACCGAGAGCUGGAGUUGCACUUUGAGAAUGAACAAUACCAUAGGCUUUGCAGUUCUAAGACUUGGGGAUGUGAGCCUCUCUGCAUAGAGGGAACUGCUUGGCAUGUCUGGUGAGAUGAUCUGGGAUACUUAGUGAUUUACCACAUCACUGUGGUGUUGGACCUUAACCUGUAGUAUUCGCACAUCUAGAAAAACUAUCUUAGGUGUCUUUCAGAUGUUUAAUAAGUUUUAACUUACCCGUUGCUGGUAAUUAAGUUAACCAGGUGAAAGAUUAAGCACCCUUUGUGUUUUCUGAAAAUUUUUUUAAAGAAAAUACAUUAUAAUAAAGCUGCUGGUCCUUUACCUGUUUGGAUAUUUCCAUCCACUUGGUCUGCAUUACAAUAGAUACAACAGUCUGGGCACACGUACAAAGAUCUCGCUUGAUAGCUUCUCUGUGCUCUGCCUGCUUCAGCAGCUUGGCCCGCAGUAGCCUGCAGGACUUCAGCACUAUAGAGGACCUGCUGCUGCCCUUCCUGCUCUGCCUUGCUGGUGUGAAACUGGCUGGCUCCAUGGAGCAGCUCUUUGCUCUGCACCAAAAAGUUGUAACUGACCCAUGUGGAUGUGUAGCUGAUCACACGUGAUAGCAUUUCUUCCUCUGCUAAUCUGCUGUGCUGCGUGAGGAUGAAAUUCGCUCUGAGAGCAAGUUCCUUCCUGUGUGGCUGCGUGGGUCCUGGCACGAGGGGACAAAGAGGGUUUAGGUCACUGGGGAUGUGCACGAUUGGGAUGGAUCGAUACUGUCCAGUGCGCAUUGUCUGUUAAGGUGACUGUUAAUUGCUGAGCUAGCGUGUCAAGUUUCUUGAAAGAAAAUUGCUAUGCAUUCAUGUGUCCUACCUGUCCCACUUUCUGUUGUGACAGAAGUUUCUUUGAGGAGGUUAAGCUGAAUGGAAUAAGAAUUAAUUGAUCAGAGAGUGGUCGUGAUGCAGGUUGCACUGAAAUUUUAGUUGCUCUACAGAGAAGGAGAGCCUGCCUCUCCCUUGCGCUGCUUUUGUAUUUGGCCAACACCAGCUACUUCAGUGGAAAUACCUCUGACUUUGUAUUGACGUCAGGGAAAGGAGGUUAUUGCUAUAGAGAACUUUUGUGCACUUUGCAUGUAACUACAACGUCAUCCUGGAGGUGAGUGUUUGGGGCAGAAAAGAGAGUUGAAUUUUCCUUCACCUUCUUGUUUGCUCAGAAAAAGCACUGAAAAGUAGCUACUGGAGAGACAGAGACGGAGAGACUUCUAGAAGGCGAGUAUCUACAUGAGUAGGAAAGUUGUUGCACGGCUCCUUAUGGUGACUUGUUUGUGGUGAUAAGCACAUUCUUCUGACAGUAGAUAUUUGUUCUCCAGGUGUGGAGGGGGUGUGUUUGGUUUGGUUUUGUUUGCUGAACCCACUCAUGAGAUACAAUUGAUAUCAGUGGCUAAAAAAUGUACGGAGAUGACAUGUCUUUGCCUCCACUUAAAUCAUGGUGAACUUGUUGGCAACCAGCACUUUCUGUAAUGUAGACAGUACUUGUAUGGAUGAGUGAACGUUCACUUUUUGGAGUUCCCUGUUUUGCUUGCAGUUGUGAGGAUACAGCUCCUGGAUUCACCUUUCAUCUGCAGUGAUGCUCCUCUGUAUUCCAUGGAGGCUGGUCGUUCCUGAAUGUUGGUAGUUCCUGCCCAAGGUGAGACAAGGGCCAAUCUGAAGGUAAAGGAAGAAAGAAUGGUAAAAUAAAAGAGCCCAAGUGAGCAGAAUGUUUUGGGGAAACAUGGAAGAAGUGGGCUGAGUUUAACUACAGCAGAGUUAAAAUAAAGACUUCAGCCUUCAUGUUUUAUCAGCAUUCACACACAGGCUGGUCCUCAUUGCCUUCUUAGCACAUGGCAAGAACGAUAAUAAAUGCUGAGCUAAAAGAUGGUACGUGAAGUUGAUUUUCUUCAUUCUGUGCCCCAAAGUGUAAAAGUACUAGACAUGCACGUUCCAUAAAUGCAACCCUGUAUUUACAGCAGUAACAGGAACCUCUUUGCAUGCUUGUGGCCAAAAAUGCAUCCAAACGCUGCGAAUGCCCAACUUAGGUGAUGCUUUUUUUAACUUUUAUUUUCUAAUUGGAAUUCCUGGCACUCUGCAUAUAAAUAGAAUUCAAGUGUCAUACGGUAAUGGCGAGUCUUACACUUUCACCAACUCCCAGUAGACAAGUGGGUGAAGGAUCUGGCUUUGAUAGCAAGGUGUGUGUGUGUAUCUACCCAGCAGCAGUAUUGAACUCGCCUUCAAUCUGUUGACUGAAAAUGUCCAGCAAUAGCUUGACUGACAGCAGCUAUUGCUUAUUGGUGCCUGGGCACUUCAGCAGUAAGAUCCCUCCUGCAGAACUGCAUAGGGCUCUGCCAAGUGUUAGCGUAUCAGGCUGAAAUUUUGGAUUUGGUGUAUCUCUGUGGGUGAGCUUAUGUUACAUUUGGUCUGAGGUGGCUGUGCAGCCCCAUCUGAACAGCAGAAGGAUGUAUGGGGAAGAAAUAGAACGGGCACGCAGUUUGAACUGUCUCAAAUGAUGGGGAAGAGAGGGGUGUGUGGAGCUCCCUUUUAUCACCAGAUCACCAACAUGCACUAGCUUGUACUUUAUAUACCUCAGAGUUGAGGAAAGUGGUUUUCUCUUCAGGUACAAAAUGGCUUUUACUUUUGACAUGUCCCUCCAAAUACCUUUGUACUGUAUAUAUGCAUAUACUUGUCAUAUAUGUACAUAUAUGUUAUCUGAAUUGUACCUUCAACUGACGAUAGCAGUGCAUUGAACUGAGUGAACACGGUCUAUUAAAAAAAAGUUGAAAACCUUCACUGGGCAGAAGAAGGGAAAAUCCUUGACAACUAUCCUUUUUCCAGUGUCACUUGCAUUCUGCUCUGCCUGAAACAUUAAUAAGAGCCCUAGCUUCUUUUCUUCCUCAGAUAUGGCUAUGAAAAGUAGUAAUUGAAAAAAUAAAACGUGGCAAUUCCAAUGUAUUGACUAUUUUUAUCAUGAGUACUCUGGGGGUGAAGGAACAAACGCAUUGUUCAGACUGGUAAAAUGCAUAAAAAGACCUUCAGGUUGUGACAACAUUUGCAGCUAGAUGUGGCGUACGUGGGGCUGGGGGAGGAAUUAAUUAAAAAAUGACUCACUAAUGUCCAUGUCAGCCAUCAUGUGGAACAAUGGCAAAAUGAUGGGUGUUGGGAAGAAAAAAAUGGCUAAGGGAUAUAUAGGCAUGCUGCAAAGGAAGAUUAAUAUUUUACCGUACUAUUAAAUCUGGUAUUUUUUGCUGGUUUUCUACUUAAAUUGAGCUUUGGGGCUUAAGGCGGCACUCCUAGCAAUGUGACAUUUCAGGUAAUUUUAAAAAGGGAAAUUUUUCUGUUCUUUUUUUCGAGACUCACGAAAGUCUAGAAAAAAUUAUCUGUGAUAUUUACGUAUUUUUACAUAUAUAUAUAUAUAUAAAAUUCCCUAAAUAACAAGGCAAAAAGUUUAAAUGAGGGAGCAUGUGCAUAUGUUUUUAUGUAUAUAUUCAUGAACUUUUUGAAAGAAUUCUCAGUGUGUAAUACUUUUGAAAUGCUCAUUACAAACAGCAGACAGCACUUCGAAAGGCUAUCUAGUUGUAAUGUAGUUCUAAAUAUUAAUUUCCAAACAAUUUCCUAUAAAUAUUCCUAACAUCUGUAAAAUACAGCUUUUUACUCUGUCCAAGGUGUUUGUGGGUUUUGUUUGGUGUGUGUGUUUUUUUGUUUAUUUAAGGAUUAAGCAGUAAAGGUGUAAGGGAGGGGGAACAUUUCCAUAAACUUCUUCCACCUUAGUAAUCCUGAUGUGUGUAGUAUGCUGUGAUUUAUAAUGAGUAGCAUGCUUGCAAUUACAUACUAUUAUGCCAGCAUUUAAAUUUUUAAUUGGAAAGAUAUAAAAUCCUUUUUAAUCCAUAACAUUUUUUAGUAUAAGGUACCAUUGAAGUUUUCAAGGAUUAUAAAGUUUUUCAUUAAAUCUUCACUAAUAGGCCCUGUAAAGUUAAGUAGGUUGAAUAUUUAACAAAGGAAUUUGUUUUCUUCUCUUUGUGAAAAUGCAGCAUUAAUGUAUUUUUUUCAUAAAAUCUUAGACCCAGUUUCUCAGAGGUCAAUGUGCAGCAGUGAUUGCCUCCAGAGACUGUAGAUGUUUUAAUGUAUUGUGAUGGUAUAGACUAUAUAAAUAGAGAAAUUAUUUAUCUCUAAUGUUACAUAUUCAUUAUUUAUUUAAAUAGUAAGAGCAACAAAAGGAAGAGCAGCCUCAAACCAGAAUAAACUUCUCACUACAUAUGGUACUAAAAGUCCCUGUCAGUAUUCCUCAGUAUUCCACUGCUCAGUGGCAGAGAUCUGUGCAGGCCAUGUGAAUGAAACAAAAAAACAUUCAGAAGGAAAUGUUGAUUCAUUUUUUUGUGAACAGAGUAAGUUAUACUAUAACAUUAAAUUAUGUAAAUAUAUAAAAAAAUUGUGAGUUUUAAAUGAUAAAAUUUAAUUUGUAACAGCAUUCUUUUUUCUCAGAGCAGUCAAGCUUUCCAGCAAGAAAAAGAAAACAAGCUGCAAGUCAAGUUGAACAGAAUUCUUUUUCAGGGGUCAUGGAGGUAUUUCUGGUGAGAGGGUCUUGUGUCAGUAUGGUGUUUCCCCGUGUCAGUAUGGUGUUUCAUGGGGUGGCAGUGCAGCAGAAUCACGUCCAAGGACUAAGCCAGAUUUCUACUUGAUACAAACAGAUGACGUCUCUGUUUGAAACAAGAGUCGAACUUGAUUGCUGACAAGUGCUGAGUGUAAACAUUUUGUAAACAAUUCAUGAAAUACGAUCAAGACAAAAGUUACACCCAUAAAAAAGCAAUGGUUCAUGCUGUUUGGGCCUUUCAUUGAAGGUAAUGAGGACCGCAGGCACGGAGGGAGGAUUAGCUUCUGGAGAAUGGGUACUGGCUUAAUUUACAGGGGUGCAGAUACCAGACUGUGCCCGUAGACCAUGGGUGAUGCCUCUUCACGGAGCCCUGCUGUUUAGCGCAGGCGAGCUGUUAGCAACCAGCGCUGGUGCUUAUCAGUUGAGCAUCACCUGUGCUUCCUUCCACUGACUCCCUGUCCUUCAGGUGCUUGGUAGUUCUUCUGAAGGUGGGAAAAAAACUAAUAGCAGAGACACUGGCAGAAUAAAUGUCAGUGAUCAAAGGUGUGACAAAGGCUGAUACUGCCUGCUGUAAUGGCCCUAAUGUUGUAAUAUAGUUGGUAAUGUAUGUGGGAGGAGAAAUGCAGUGGCGAUGCAUUAGGCACCUGGAGUGCCUGCUCUCUCAGGACAUGCUGGCCUGAAGGUCAAACCCAAUAUAUUUAAAUGGAGGGAGACUUUUGCCUCACUGAUCUUGAAAUGCCUGUGAGGAAUAAGAAACUAGUAAGAUACUUCAGUUCUAAAACAUGGAGUGGGUGGCAAAAUAAGGAGAAUAAACAACAAGAAAAGACUACUGCAGCGGGAAAUUAAAAAGCUUAUGUUUCUCUGUAAAUUUCUACAGUAGCAGCCCCGCAAACUGCUGUGUCAAAAUUAUAAAAAAUAAUUGUAGAAGGCCAGUAGGAAAUGGUGAAAGCAAUACUUGAGCCAGCUAAACAAAAUUACUAGCUUCAAAUGUGUCUGUCAAGGUAUGAGAGAUACAGUUCAGACAUCCCAAAACUGAAAAUAUUUUUCAGUUGCUGCAUUAUACUGCAGCAAGCUGAGAAAAGAUUAGAAAUAGUGAUUUCAUUAAUAAAAACAGAAUUUUCUGGUACAUAGUCUAAUAUUAUCAUCAUCAUUACAGUAGAAUUAUCAUUAUUCUAUGAUCUGGUCAGAUAAAAUUUUGUAUCUCGUAAUCCUCUGUUUACAUCUAGCAGGCAAUACUAUAGAUACUGCAGAGAUUCAGAAUGGUGUGUGGUGGGAUGGUGCCUGGGUUGCAAACUGCUCUUCUGGCAAAAAUGAUGGCUUUUUAACAGGACGCUCUGGACUCGCGCAUUCAAAUUGCAGCAGCCUAGAGAAUGGUAAAACUGAAAUAGGAAAACAGUACUCUCUUCAUCUUCUCAUCUUUGGUGAGUUCAUGCUGGAUUCUGUGGUGCCAGUAUCUCAGGCAGCAUUUUUCAUACUAAACAUCUGUUGUUUUGAUUCCUUUGUUUAAAUAGAUUGGAUUAGAAGUGGAGAAAAACCAUCAUUUCCUCCCCCACGCCAUUCUGCUCCAAGGCUUAGUUACUAUGAAGACAAAUCUUAUUUAUUUCCUUCCAGAAAGAGCUUCACUGACAUGCAGUAUUAGAUUUUUUGGAAACUGGUUCUGACUCAAUUUUCAGCUAUGUCAAUAUACAAGAUCUAAUUAUUGUAAAUUACAUUCAGAUAAGGCUGCGUGUAAGCUCCUCUGUAAAUCUAUAUUAAGUCCAUUGAUUCUGAUAGGCUUCACUGUCUUAACUGACAUGCUCUGGAAUUACAGCAGGGUGACUGAAACCAAAAUCUGCUUAGAUCUGUGCUGUUGAGAUCUAGGAAGCAUUUUGUUUAGUGUUUUAACUGCAGGUGAUAACUAUUGGCCGUAGUGCAGUUUUCUGAGAAGCAACAGAGACUGUCCAUUGAGGGUCUUUAUAUGGCCUUAAACCUAAAGGCAAAACCUUAUUGUGAAUUAAUUUAUUAUUCUUUUAAAUGCUGUGGAUAUAUCAAAAGGACCACUUGCAUGUUGAUGCAAGACAGAAGAAAGUUCUUUUGUGUAACACAGAGAAUAUACUUGAUCCCUGUUCCAAGUAAUAAAAACCUACUGCCAGCAAAUUCCAACAUUUCAUCCUGUGCAUGAAGUCCACCAAAAUAAUGAUCUCCUAAUCCAAGAGAUGUGCUGAAAGUUAAGGUCUCAUUUGAAAUUGAGAGUGGAAGAGUCAAACAUCACUGUGAUCUUAGCAGCACGCAGAUGGAUUCUGGGCCCUGAUGGAACAGAGUGUAAUUCUGUCAGAUUUGGACUUUAUAAUUUUAUUUUUUUUUUUAGGGACAAAAAGAGUUCCCAAACUUGCAUGAACCUUCCAAGAUUCAGGCUAAAGUUGAUGCAGAACGUGAGAGGGAAAAGAUAGGUGAGAGAUUGAAAUUUGUGCAUUUUCAAUUAGAAAGCAAAUUACUGUAUUUACUUUAACAGGGGACAUUAGAGAUGUUUGCUGUGAGUCCAAACCACGUUGUAGUAUGAUCAGCUCUUCCCACGAAUGCACACACACGCCACACCUUCCAGACUCUGGUUCAAAGUACAUGUUUUCAGCAGAUGCCUCUGGGUGUCCACAUUCGGUCAGCCACAUACCUUCAGGCUUAGAAUCACACAAGUGAGGGGUUUAUGUCCCCCCAGUAGCCUUCAGUGCUGCAAGUACUUUAAAAAAGGAAAGUGUAGUUUGCCUGUUCUUGUCAACCUCCCGAUCCCCAGACAAGCCCUGUGUGACAGAGUGUUCCCGAUCUGGCCGGCAGACUCCAUGGUAGCGCUUGGGUUAGUGCAGGAAACUCAGAAGUGCUGAGCGGUUCCACCAGACUUCCAGUGCACGCAGGGGUGUGUGCACAGACGUGGCAGUGACACCAUUUAGAGAAAAAUUUAAGAAAGUUCUCUUUGCUCAAUAGGUUCAGAAAACUAAUGCAAUUCUAACACUAGAUACCUUUUUCUUGGGCUUCUCAAAUGAUGGCUGAGACUGCCCUUUUGAAAGUAACCGGUGCUUGUUAGUGGCAGGAAAAAUGAUGCCAUUUUCAUGUGUUCUUAUUCUGCCUAUCAAUUCAUACUGACACUGUUCACAAUCCUCAGGUUUAACUCUGAUUUGGCACCCAGCUCUGCAUCAGAUGUCGCCAGGUAUUCAUCUUCAUUCUUUGGUGGGCUUGUUUCAGUUUCCAGUAUUUCUUCUGCAUUUUUUCAACCACUGGCCAAUCCUUUGACCUGUCUUGGGUGCAGAAAUCCAUGAGAUAGCUCUGUGUGUGUGCAUGUGUGACAGGCUCAAAUGUUUUUCAGCUGGGACAGACGUAGAGUUAAAGGAGAGCAACUAAGUCAGUGAGCAUUUCCUGAGUGUUCUUCCAAGUGAUCUCAGCUACGGUUCACAUGCAGUUUACAGCAGCUGUGGUCUGACCGAAGAUCCCUCCUCUAAAUUUAUAGACCAUAGACAAUAGAAAGCAUGAUGAGAGGGACCCUUUUGGAGGAGCGAUCUAGAUUAUUGGGAUGGUUUGCUAUAACUGGUAUAUCAUAUUUCCCCAUGCAGCUUUUUGUGAAUUCUGGUUUGCGUUCAGAGGUUGCAAACAUUUAAAGAAAGGUCUUUGCUGAAAUUAUAAGCUGAAAGUCUCAGUAGCAAUCACAGGGCAUUUAUGUUGAUGUUUAGUUUUACAGACAUCUAAACUCGUACUAAGAUCCCCUGAUGGUCACAGGCUACUAGUUGCCCAAUGGAAUAAAUCGCAAAGAUAUGCAAAGUUGACAUUUUGAAGUUUUGGAUAUGAAUAUUGCAACUGAUACAGAAAUUUACAUUUUUGUGGUUUGAGUUAAGUUUUCAGCAUUCCAUACGGUGCAUGCCUUGAUUUGGAUGGCUUGGUAGACUCAUCCAGAUGGAGCAGCUGUCUUUCCUCGACCAGGCUCAGCCAGCGUUUUGCUGGCAGCUGAAAAGCCACUCAUUUCAUGCUAUUUACAGGACAAUUUAAAUUGGUUUUCAUGACAAUGAAUUUUAACCCAAGUUUUGCCCCUAAUUUGGGAUCUCUGCCAAUGUGCUUACAUCAAACAAAACUGGUGACUUAACUCAGUUGGCCUUUUUUGGGGGUAUGAAUUGGGACAUAAGCCAGUGUAACUGGUUGCUGUCAGACAGUGGUGUGUGCAGCGACUUGUGGCUGUGUCUCCCACCUGGGCUGCCCAGGCAGGUGCCAGCUGCCAGGAAGGCUGGGGCUCAGGCUGGCCUUGGUGCUAAACCAGUGAAAUAGCCGUUCUGUUUGCUGGGAUGUUGGGCUGGAAAUCAAGGGUAGGUUGUAGUUCUGCCCAUCAGAACAGGAUCAUCAGCUUUGCUGUCUGCAAUGCUGUCAUCUUAGCCACAACUCUCCCCCAGAGGUGCAGCAGGGAUGGUGUGAUGGGGCAUCCUGCCACGGUUGUGCGUUCUCAAAGCACGUUAGGUAAAACCUACAGGCAAACAAAAACUAAUCCUACCAAAUGUGAGUACCUUUUUUUAUUUUAAAAUACUUAAAAAAAAAAAACAAAACAAAAAACCCCCAAGGAAACAAAAAGAUGCAAUAAAACAAAUAAAAGCAUUAAAUGAAGCAGGAUGAUAAUCCAUAGUAUCUUCUGCUGGGCUGGGGUACGUGGGGGCCAGCUUGGCAGCCCCGUUCUGACAAAAAGUAGAAAUCAAAAGUCAGGUGUGUUGACCUAGUUCACAUUAAGUAUUUAAUCUGAUAAUUUUCAUCUUUCCUACAGCAGGGGAAAAGAGUACAUGCUGAAAUUUCAGUGAGGUCAUGGAACAGAUCUGCCCAAAUCUGAUG